rnacentral:rRNA from 1 species
AUUGAACGCUAGCGGGAGGCAUAACACAUGCAAGUCGAACGAGUGGCGGACGGGUGAGUAAUGUCUGGGAAACUGCCCGAUGGAGGGGGAUAACUACUGGAAACGGUAGCUAAUACCGCAUACCAUUGGAUGUGCCCAGAUGGGAUUAGCUAGUAGGUGGGGUAAAGGCUCACCUAGGCGACGAUCCCUAGCUGGUCUGAGAGGCUGACCAGCCCCACUGUGACUGAGACACGGUCCAGACCCCUACGGGAGGCAGCAGUGGGGAAUAUUGCACAAUGGGCGCGAGCCUGAUGCAGCCAUGCCGCGUGUAUGAUGAAGGCCUUCGGGUUGUAAAGUACUUUCAGCGGGGAGGUGUUAGCCGCAGAAGAAGCACCGGCUAACUCCGUGCCAGCAGCGGCGGUAAUAC